UUCUAGCAGUGAGGAAGGUGGGUAUGUUAAUAGCAUAUUCAUUUGACGUUAGCUGCAGAAGAAGCACCGGCUAACUCCGUGCCAGCAGCCGCGGUAAUACGGAGGGUGCGAGCGUUAAUCGGAAUUACUGGGCGUAAAGCGCAUGCAGGUGGUUUGUUAAGUCAGAUGUGAAAGCCCGGGGCUCAACCUCGGAAUUGCAUUUGAAACUGGCAAACUAGAGUACUGUAGAGGGGGUAGAAUUUCAGGUGUAGCGGUGAAAUGCGUAGAGAUCUGAAGGAAUACCGGUGGCGAAGGCGGCCCCCUGGACAGAUACUGACACUCAGAUGCGAAAGCGUGGGGAGCAAACAGGAUUAGAUACCCUGGUAG
rnacentral:rRNA from 1 species